rnacentral:tRNA from 2 species
GGCGGCAUAGCCAAGCGGUAAGGCAGAGGUCUGCAAAACCUUUAUCCUCAGUUCGAUUCUGAGUGCCGCCUCCA